rnacentral:rRNA from 1 species
UACGGGGGGAGCAAGCGUUGUUCGGAUUUACUGGGCGUAAAGGGCGCGUAGGCGGUCAGCACAAGUCAGUUGUGAAAUCUCCGGGCUUAACUCGGAAAGGUCAACUGAUACUGUGCGACUAGAGUGCAGAAGGGGCAACUGGAAUUCUUGGUGUAGCGGUGAAAUGCGUAGAUAUCAAGAGGAACACCUGCGGCGAAGGCGGGUUGCUGGGCUGACACUGACGCUGAGGCGCUAAAGCCAGGGGAGCGAACGGG